UGUCUAUGGAAUUUAUUUGUAUAUGUUUUCUGGUACUUCUUUGUUUUUCUUGAUCGAUAUUAGAGAAAUAAUGCUCGUGACAACAUCUGCAGGUGUGGCAUUAUUGGCAGAGGAAGUGUCAUCCGUAGUUCAUCAGGAGAUGGCUUCUUUCAUGUGGACCGAGGGAUCUCCUGAUCUACAAGCCAUUACCUGAGGACUUAGAUCAGAAUGAUGUAAGCUUGGACAGCUCCCCCUCUUUUGCUGUGUAGGCAUGUUCUCAGUCUGUUGAAGCACCUAGACCUCAGUCACCAAUUUUUAAAAAUGAUAUCACAGAUAUAUUGAGUCUUCAUUUUUCUUCAAAGUUUCUGCAAUUAUCAGCAGUGGAAAAAUGUCUGAUAAAGAAAGCACAGAAUCUCAGGUCAACUGGCUCCAUGCAUUCUAUGAUCCUUUAGCCACACUUUAUACAUUCUCAUCUUGUAUAUGUCUGGCUGACAUACAUGGUGAUGGAGACUUCAAAUUGAUUAUUGCAGACCUGGGAACAGGAACUUACAACAUGAAGCUCAAAGUAUA